CCUGUGUAAUGAAGAAGCUCUGUCACCUAAGGAGUUGUGGUGGUGUGAAGUCUAAUUGGUGACUGACGAUGGCCGUUCCUGACAGGACAACAAAAGGAGCGUGUGUGCACACACCUGUACUGUCCUUAACCUGCUGCUGCUGGAUUCGUUAGGAGGAAAACAGUCAUCUGUGCCUUCAUGGACCAGACAUCUGACCCUCACCCAAUAAUACCGUUUGAGGUGGACGUGGACUUGGGUUUCGCUCUCUUCUUCCUCUUCCUGCUGUGUUUCUUCCUGCUGGUGACAGUGGUGCGAUGUGCUCAAACAGUGGUGGAUCCGUAUGGCUCCAUCUCCACCUCCACCUACCAGGAGGAGCAGAUCACCUGAGGGAGAGUGUCUUCUCCCAGUGACGUGUCUCUGCAGGACUCCAGCUGUCCACCUUAGAAAACUCAUACAUGUACACUCUCGUUGUUGUGUGUCCUCAGUGGAUACAGGAGUCAGAGCACGUUAGAAACAAGAGGAAGGUCCAAAAUGUGCAUUUACUGAUUGAAUGUUCCUGUGGGUUUUUGGCCAUUUUGCAUUUAACUGCAGUUUUGCAUCGAUGUACUUCUAUAAAAUACAUUUUCCCACACCACCUCAGUUUUUGAAAAGACUUUGAACAGCUAUGAGUGAAUUCUCAAAUGGAACCGGAUCGAGUUUAAUCCAGUGCUUCAGUUUAAAAUGGUAACAGGAGCCAAAGUUAAAGAGCUCAGUGAAGCAAUAAUGUAAUAUCACAUUGAUUUGCUGUGCAGGCACAGAUUUAGGGGCAGACGCGACGGACAUGUUUCCAAAAUCAAGAUAAACAUCGACUGUGUACGCAGCAACUUUGCCAGGUUUGACAGUUUCCUGUUGGUUGGCAGGUGAAAGCUUGAGAUAAAAGGUUUUAUACAUUUAUUUUCUUGUGAUAUUUUCUUUAAAAUCUAUUCAGAUUCCAUCAAGAUUUAUGUGAUUUAAUAAACAUGAAACAUAUGUUUAAACUUCA